rnacentral:rRNA from 1 species
GGAAUAUUGGUCAAUGGGCGCGAGCCUGAACCAGCCAAGUAGCGUGAAGGAUGAAGGUCCUAUGGAUUGUAAACUUCUUUUAUAGCAGAAUAAAGUGACACACGUGUGGGGUUUUGUAUGUAUGCUAUGAAUAAGGAUCGGCUAACUCCGUGCCAGUAGCCGCGGUGAUACGGAGGAUCCGUGGGUUAUCCGGCUGUAUUGGGUUUAAAGGGUGCGUAGGCGGAAAGAUAAGUCAGCUUGUGAAAGUUUGCGGCUCAACCGUAAAAUUGCAGUUGAUACUGUGUUUCUUGAGUGUACACGAGGUAGGCGGAAUUCACGGUGUAGCGGUGAAAUGCUUAGAUAUCGCGAAGAACUCCAACUGCGAAGGCAGCUUACAGGGGUACAACUGACGCUGAGGCACGAAAGUG